GGCCCGAGGGCGGGAGUGAUGGCGGAGAGUACCCCUGUGAAUGAGGAUGCUGCGCCGUCUCUCUCCCAGUCGCCUGGCCUUGGGCCCGGCCCUCGGCGGUGGGAGCGGCUGAGGCUGGCUGCAGGGCCCUGGGCGCGGUCAUUUGGCUUCCUGGCGGUGCUGGGUCUCCUUUAUUUGUUGCGGGGCCCGCUCCGGUUGCGGGACAACUUAGUGGCAGUAACUGUUUUCUUGAGCACGCUGACUCCAAAAUUCUAUGUUGCACUUACGGGGACUUCAUCUUUGAUAUCAGGUCUGAUAUUUAUAUUUGAAUGGUGGUACUUCAGAAAAUAUGGCAUGUCUUUUAUUGAACAGGUUUCUGUGAGUCAUUUGCGACCACUCAUUGGAGGGGCAGACAAUGCUAGUUCUGCACAGGCAAAUUUUUCUGCUGCUAGUGGAGACAAUGAAAUGAACAGACAAAAUCUCUCAGAGUGCAAAGUAUGGAGAAAUCCACUCAAUCUCUUCAGAGGAGCAGAAUAUAACAGAUAUACAUGGGUGACAGGAAAGGAGCCACUAACAUAUUAUGAUAUGAACUUAUCUGCUCAGGAUCAUCAGAGUUUUUUUACCUGUGAAACAGACUCUCUUAGGCCUUCAGAUGCAGUUAUGCAGAAGGCAUGGCGGGAAAGGAAUCCUCAGGCCCGAAUCAAAGCAGCACAUCAAGCUUUAGAAUUAAAUAAUGACUGUGCCACAGCAUACAUUCUUCUGGCUGAGGAAGAAGCAACUACUAUUUUAGAAGCUGAAAAAUACUUUAAACAAGCUCUGAGGGCUGGAGAAACAGUUUAUAAAAAGUCUCAGCAUAGCAGUUCACAAAAUCCACACCAUGAGGCACAGCUUAGAAGAGACACCAAUGUAUUGGUAUAUGUGAAAAGAAGACUAGCUAUGUGUGCAAGAAAGCUUGGAAGAAUUAAAGAAGCAGCAAAAAUGAUGAGGGAUUUAAUGAAAGAAUUCCCUGUCUUAAGUGUAUUGAAUAUCCAUGAAAACCUGCUAGAAACACUUCUGGAACUACAGGCUUAUGUGGAUGUCCAGGCAGUUCUAGCAAAGUAUGAUGAUAUCAGCCUUCCAAAAUCAGCAGCAAUAUGUUACACAGCAGCACUCUUAAAAGCAAGAGCAGUUUCAGAUAGGUUUUCUCCAGAAACAGCUUCUAGAAGGGGACUUAGCACAGCCGAAAUUAAUGCUGUAGAAGCAAUACAUAGAGCAGUAGAAUUUAAUCCUCAUGUUCCAAAGUACUUGCUAGAAAUGAAAAGCUUAAUUUUGCCCCCUGAGCACAUUCUGAAGCGUGGGGACAGUGAAGCAGUAGCCUACGCAUUCUUCCAUCUUCAGCACUGGAAGCGAAUAGAAGGGGCCCUUAACUUGCUGCACUGCACGUGGGAAGGCACAUUUAGAAUGAUUCCAUAUCCAUUAGAAAAGGGUCAUCUAUUUUAUCCUUAUCCCAGUUGCACAGAGACAGCAGAUAGAGAGUUAUUACCAACAUUUCAUGAUGUGUCUGUAUAUCCCCAGAAAGAUCUUCCUUUUUUCAUCCAUUUUACAGCAGGGCUAUGUUCUUUCACAGCAAUGUUAGCCCUUCUCACACACCAGUUUCCAGAACUCAUGGUCAUUUUUGCUAAAGCUAUGGUACCUCCUAAGAGCUGAAGUAACAGGGGUAGCUUUAUUACGGAGCAAUGCAAAACAGUUAUUGAUGACUGUUUCCAAGUUUUUUGGAACUCUUUUGUCACCUUUGAGCUUCUUGAUGGAGAAGAUUGAACGCCUCAUGCCUUCUGGUCUCUGGCAUCAGCUGACCCAAAUCUGAACACAUCUCAGUUCACAUGAACUUUAACAUCAGCCCCUCUUGACUACAAAAGCAUUGGCAACUAAGAGUGUGAAGGAAGACUUACUUAGCUUUGUUUUAUAGGCUGUUAAAAAUUGCUGUACUUAAGCCUAAAAUAUUGUAGAUUUAAAAUCCACAAUUCAAUGUCUGAGCGGGUGAGUGGGGAGAGGAUUGUUGUACUUAAGGCUACUGCUUUCUCUCUCAGAAAUUACAGAAAGCAAUAAAUCUGAUAGAUCCUAUGUUGAAAUUUCCUUCUGAAGUGGAGAUAUGCUUAAAUGUUUAUUAGCCAAGAAUCUAACCCACAGAUCUUGUCUUACUGACCACUUGCCAAGAUACACAGCCCUGUAGAGGGCCCACUGCCAGUACAUCAAGCCUCCUGCUUCUUGCUGUUGUUUCACUUGUUUACUUCUAAAGAAAGGAGCAGUUAACAGAAAAACAAGAAAAAAGAACCAUAGCCUGCACUUGCUUUACUCUCUCUAUCCUGAUUUAAGGUAACAAGAUGAAGAAAAGGGAGCAAGAAGUACCAUAGAAAUGGUACUUCUAAUGCUAGCUAAUGCUAGUCUUGAAAGCAGGAGAUAAUUCUGUUGAUACUUGGCUCUGAACCAUUCUUAAUUAUGGGGAUCUUCCAACUGGUUGCUACAUAUUGUGUUUUUUGAGGAUUAUCUGAUUUACAGUUAUUUUUGGAUUUAUUUAUUUGAUUCUGGGUAGCAAAUGGUGAAUUAAAACUAAUAAAAUCACAAAGGGAAUAAAUAAUACAUGCAUACACAUGCCAUGCCUAGGCCACACACAAAUCCAAGCCAAGUUGUAUAAUUGCACAAGGCUGUCAGUAUUUGGACCAUCAAUGUUUCAGGCAUAUGCUGUUCCACAGAGAAUGCACAGUAAGAGAUAUAGACAGCACAUCCCUAUAAUAGUUCUUUACCUUUAAGAUAGGAAAGAAUAUAAAUUUUUAUUUGGACAGGAUCAUUUAUUAUACAUAAGUAAAUACAUAGCCUGUGCAGCCUACUCAUUUUAUUAAGAAUUUAAUUGACUGCUGUGUGUCCAUCUCCCCCAUAUUCACUGGCCUAAGCAAGUGGCAGUUCUUAGCUGACCAUUGCCCAUUGCAAAAGCUAACUAGGAUUGGCCCUGAUUUGCAUUUCAAUGAAAGACUACCUGGCACUCCUGAGACUUGGCCAGAUUAGAGAAAGAAAAUAACAGCAAACCAUUUCUGUAUAGUUAUCCUUAAAAAGUUUAUGAACUCUCUUAGAUUUUCAGUAUUUCUCUAUAAAUAUGACUUAAAAUGUGAUCUGUCAUCCACACAAUUGCUAGAACUAUAUAAAGAGAAAACCAAUUAAACAAAUGACUUAACAUACUUAUUCAUUUCUUUACUGAGGGAAAGAAUACAAAGCUACAUAUUUGUCUAUCACAAAAUAUGUGAACUUUUGCUUUCAGUAAUUGCUGAUAUUUUGGAGAGGCCAAGUCCUGACCCUAAUCCUAAAGAAAUCUUGUGGAAGGACUUGAAGUAAGUAAGUUCAUGUGAGAAAUCCCACCAAUAUCCCUUAGUUUGGAGAUACUCAAUAAAGAGGAAUGCAUUAAAAUUUCCACACCAAUCUGUCAGACUGAUCAGUUACUGGAAAUGUUUAGUUGCAGUUAUUGCUGCCCAGUGGGGCAUGGCUGUCUGAAAGCAAAGAUUCACGUGCUUGCCACACACAGAUAUGUAGCUUUGGAACAAGUUUAAUAUUUUAACUCAUUUAUUUAAUUGGCUUUGUUUAUCCAGUUGCCAGAUUGGCAUGGAGGACAGGUUAUGUUUUAGGUCAUAUUUAUGCAGAAAUACUGAAAAUUCAAAGGGGUUUGCAAACAUUUAAACACUAACUCUGCCAAGAUAACUGCUUGACUCAAGAGUGUCUUUACUUUUUUAUUGUUCAUCAAGGCAUAAAUCAGAAUUUAAUAAGUGGAUCAGUCACUUGCACUUUUUCUUAAAUUGCUCAACCAUUUGUAGAGCUUGAUGGAGACUGAUACCUUAGGAGGAGUUUCUUAACUUCAAUAGACAAAAUUGAUUUUUAUCCUUGACCUUUGUCUAUCCUGAGUCAUUUAUAAAGCUCAGUUUAUCCCUUCCCCUUCCUUCCCUUUUCUCCCAUCUAGCUAUCUUCGUUUUGAACAGCAACUAUAUGAAGGAAAGUGGAAGAACUGAGUAAUAAUAGCAUUUUAAUAUUCGAUGACAGGUAUAUUUCUCAACUGCUGUUAGACAUUAUUAAGGUAUGGCCAGUUUACAGGGCAUACAUAAACAACACAAGGAUAGAAGUUUUUCUGUUGUAAAAACAUACUCUGAAGUUUACACAAAAUGGCUGCUCUUUCUGAGGCAAAUUUUUAGUUCAUAGAGAUGUUUUGAAGAUCAUUCAUUUCUGUACCUCAGUAUUUUCCUUUGCUGUUUCAUAAAUGUAUAUAUAUUGCAAUGCAGAUAAUGGCUUGUUAUCUAUAAGCCUAUGAUAGUGUUCUUGAUUAUUUGGGGAUCAUUCCCCAUUACCACUUGAUAAAUAUGUCACUUACCACUCUAUCUGUAGUGGUGUUUGCAUUCAUUUGUGACGAGACAAGAAAGAGGAAACAGACGGUUGGAUCUAUGCAGCAACUAGGAGGUAAAACUCAAAUGUUAUCUGCCGAGUGAACAUAAGCCACAGGGGUAGUUUCUCACGGUGGUAUCUCUCUGAUGAUUAAUGGUCAUGCUGUACUCAUCCAAUUUCACUUUGCCAUCCACAGAGGCCCAUAAGGUAAGCAGCAUAAUGCUUUUUAAAAUUGAAUCUUUUCCAACUUAUGUGUGGGGUUAUAAAUGAAGCAGAGUCUCCU